rnacentral:rRNA from 1 species
UACGUAGGGUGCGAGCGUUAAUCGGAAUUACUGGGCGUAAAGUGUGCGCAGGCGGCAGAGCAAGUCGAGUGUGAAAGCCCCGGGCUUAACUUGGGAAUUGCGCUCGAAACUACUUUGCUGGAGUGUGACAGAGGAAGGUGGAAUUCCACGUGUAGCGGUGAAAUGCGUAGAGAUGUGGAGGAACACCAAUGGCGAAGGCAGCCUUCUGGGCCAACACUGACGCUCAUGCACGAAAGCGUGGGGAGCAAACAGG